UGCAAGUCGAACGGACUCUUCGGAGUUAGUGGCGGACGGGUGAGUAACGCGUGAGAAUCUGCCUCUAGGUCGGGGACAACAGUUGGAAACGACUGCUAAUCCCGGAUGAGCCUGCGGGUAAAAGAUUAAUUGCCUAGAGAGGAGCUCGCGUCUGAUUAGCUAGUUGGUGAGGUAAAAGCUCACCAAGGCGACGAUCAGUAGCUGUUCUGAGAGGAAGAACAGCCACACUGGGACUGAGACACGGCCCAGACUCCUACGGGAGGCAGCAGUGGGGAAUUUUCCGCAAUGGGCGAAAGCCUGACGGAGCAAUACCGCGUGAGGGAAGAAGGCCUUUGGGUCGUAAACCUCUUUUCUCAGGGAAGAAGUUCUGACGGUACCUGAGGAAAAAGCCUCGGCUAACUCCGUGCCAGCAGCCGCGGUAAUACGGAGGAGGCAAGCGUUAUCCGGAAUUAUUGGGCGUAAAGCGUCCGUAGGUGGCCUUUCAAGUCUGCGGUUAAAAACUAGAGCUCAACUCUGGGUCAGCCGUGGAAACUGAGAAGCUAGAGUACAGUAGGGGUAGAGGGAAUUCCCAGUGUAGCGGUGAAAUGCGUAGAGAUUGGGAAGAACACCGGUGGCGAAAGCGCUCUACUGGGCUUGUACUGACACUGAGGGACGAAAGCUAGGGGAGCAAAAGGGAUUAGAUACCCCUGUAGUCCUAGCCGUAAACGAUGGAAACUAGGCGUAGCCUGUAUCAACUCAGGCUGUGCCGAAGCUAACGCGUUAAGUUUCCCGCCUGGGGAGUACGCACGCAAGUGUGAAACUCAAAGGAAUUGACGGGGGCCCGCACAAGCGGUGG
rnacentral:rRNA from 2 species